rnacentral:rRNA from 1 species
GCGAGUGAGCGGGAAAGCUCAAAUUUAAAAUCUGGCGGCUUUGGUCGUCCGAGUUGUAUUCUAGAGAAGUGUUUUCCGCGUUGGACCGUGUAUAAGUCUCUUGGAAUAGAGCGUCAUAGAGGGUGAGAAUCCCGUCUUUGACACGGACUACCAAUGCUUUGUGAUACACUCUCAAAGAGUCGAGUUGUUUGGGAAUGCAGCUCAAAAUGGGUGGUAAAUUCCAUCUAAAGCUAAAUAUUGGCGAGAGACCGAUAGCGAACAAGUACCGUGAGGGAAAGAUGAAAAGCACUUUGGAAAGAGAGUUAAACAGUACGUGAAAUUGCUGAAAGGGAAACGCUUGAAGUCAGUCGCGUUAGCUAGAACUCAACCAGGCUUGCUUGGCGUAUUUUCUAGUUAACGGGCCAGCAUCAGUUUUGACCGCAGGAAAAGGGCCAGGGAAAUGUGGCAUCUUCGGAUGUGUUAUAGUCUCUGGUCGUAUACUGUGAUUGGGACUGAGGACCGCAGCACGCGCAAGCUGUGCUUAGGAUGCUGGCGUAAUGGCUUUAAACGACCCGUCUUG